CCGGAUCCACUGCCCAAAUGUGUUGUCUUGAUUUUUAUUCUGCCCUUGCAUCAUACCAAUGUCUCUCUCUCUCUACCAACCAUCGCUCUCACAAACCCUAUCUUCUCGCAUAUGUGAUUCAGUGUUCUCUAACCCUAACCCUCACCAUCGCCGGAAGAUACCAACGAUUUGAUCCGUAAUACGUUGCAACUUUGAUGAUACCCUAAUGGAAUUGAGUGCCUUGAUAACGACUAUGGUUUGAUUUUUCUUCUGGCAGUUCAGUAAUUCAUUUGCUUUCAAAAUUCAAGAUAAGGGGGGUCGUAUGCACAGAUUUAUUAGUGAUUCUCAUAGUUUGGCAGAUCAUACAAUGGCCAUAAUUCAGAGACUAGGGGUGAGAUCCACCGCUACCACCUCCCACAAAUUCUGGUCUUUAGGACUGUGCAGAACUUGGUUCAAACCGACCCAACCAGUGACCCGAACCAAGACCGGAAAGCAACUUCCACUUGAUGCUUAUCGGUUUUUCAUGGAGAAGAUGAUAAAUUUGAUAUGUAUCAUGUUAACAAGAACAAUGUUAAUCGUGUUAUGCUUUUGGAGAGUGUCAUGUUGCAGUUUAAAAUCUGAUUUAUGCAUUAAAAAUAGGCAUCAGUACGAAGACGAAGACUAGGACGAAGUCGUAAUUUCAUCAGACAAUGAUCUUACUGCAAGUGAAGAUGCUGGGGUCUGCAUAUAUUUUCAGCAUUUUACGAAGCAACUAGCAAGCAUCACAUUUUUAACGGGUCAGAUAGACACUAGCAAUGGGUUCUACUCCGAUGCUGGUCUUUAUGUUCAUCUUCGAAUCGGUCCUUACGUUUGUGCCGAGUGGAAUUACGGUGGAUUUCCGCUCUGGUUACAUUUCAUACCAGGAAUCGAGCUUCGAACUGAUAACGAGCCGUUUAAGAU